UUUAUUUAACAAUCUACAUUGAACUCAGAUUUCGUCAGCAGCGGGCUGUGAUGAUUAUGAACAAGUUCGUUGUCGACGAAACCUGCAUACUGUGUGGAGUGGCAACAAG
rnacentral:pre_miRNA from 11 species